AACGAACGCUGGCGGCAUGCCUAACACAUGCAAGUCGAACGAGACCUUCGGGUCUAGUGGCGCACGGGUGCGUAACGCGUGGGAACCUGCCCUUAGGUUCGGAAUAACUCCCCGAAAGGGGUGCUAAUACCGGAUAAUGUCUUCGGACCAAAGAUUUAUCGCCUUUGGAUGGGCCCGCGUUGGAUUAGCUAGUUGGUAGGGUAAAAGCCUACCAAGGCGACGAUCCAUAGCUGGUCUGAGAGGAUGAUCAGCCACACUGGGACUGAGACACGGCCCAGACUCCUACGCGAGGCAGCAGUAGGGAAUAUUGGACAAUGGGCGAAAGCCUGAUCCAGCAAUGCCGCGUGAGUGAUGAAGGCCUUAGGGUUGUAAAGCUCUCUUACCCGGGAUGAUAAUGACAGUACCGGGAGAAUAAGCUCCGGCUAACUCCGUG
rnacentral:rRNA from 1 species